AACGAACGCUGGCGGCAUGCCUAACACAUGCAAGUCGAACGAUACCUUCGGGUCUAGUGUCGCACGGGUGCGUAACGCGUGGAAACCUGCCCUUAGGUUCGGAAUAACUCCCCGAAAGGGGUGCUAAUACCGGAUAAUGUCUUCGGACCAAAGAUUUAUCGCCUUUGGAUGGGCCCGCGUUGGAUUAGCUAGUUGGUAGGGUAAAAGCCUACCAAGGCGACGAUCCAUAGCUGGUCUGAGAGGAUGAUCAGCCACACUGGGACUGAGACACGGCCCAGACUCAUACGGGAGGCAGCAGUGGGGAAUAUUGGACAAUGGGCGAAAGCCUGAUCCAGCAAUGCCGCGUGAGUGAUGAAGGCCUUAGGGUUGUAAAGCUCUUUUACCCGGGAUGAUAAUGACAGUACCGGGAGAAUAAGCUCCGGCUAACUACGUG
rnacentral:rRNA from 1 species